rnacentral:rRNA from 1 species
CACGAGACACGUGAAACCUUGUGGGAAGCAGGGAGGACCACCUCCCAAGGCUAAAUACUACCUGAUGACCGAUAGUGAAGCAGUACCGUGAGGGAAAGGUGAAAAGAACCCCGGGAGGGGAGUGAAAUAGAACCUGAAACCGUGUGCCUACAACCGCUCAGAGCCCCUUAUGAGGGUGAUGAGGUGCUUUUUGUAGAACGAGCCAACGAGUUACGGUAUGUAGCAAGGUUAAGUACUUAAGGUACGGAGCCGAAGGGAAACCGAGUCUGAAUAGGGCGACUAGUUGCAUGCCGUAGACCCGAAACCGGGUGACCUAUCCAUGGCCAGGUUGAAGCGAGGGUAAAACCUCGUGGAGGACCGAACCACGUUGCUGUUGAAAAAGCAUGGGAUGAGCUGUGGAUAGCGGAGAAAUUCCAAUCGAACCCGGAGAUAGCUGGUUCUCUCCGAAAUAGCUUUAGGGCUAGCGUCGAGUAUGAGUAGUGGAGGUAGAGCACUGAAUGGGCUAGGGGGCAUAGCGCUUACCGAACCUUAUCAAACUCCGAAUGCCACAUACUUUGAGCUCGGCAGUCAGACUACGAAUGAUAAGAUCCGUGGUCAAAAGGGAAACAGCCCAGAUCGUCAGCUAAGGUCCCAAAGUGUAAGUUAAGUGGGAAAGGAUGUGAGAUUUCUAAGACAACUAGGAUGUUGGCUUAGAAGCAGCCAUUCAUUAAAAGAGUGCGUAAUAGCUCACUAGUCGAGAGAUCUUGCGCCGAAAAUGUAACGGGGCUAAACUUACCACC